rnacentral:rRNA from 1 species
GUGAAAUUGUUGAAAGGGAAACGAUUGAGGCCAGUCAUGCCUGCGAGAAAUCAACCGAUUGGUUCUAUUUUCGAAUAUGAUUAAUAGGUGCACUUUUUCGCGUGGCAGGUUAGCAUCAACUUUAAUUGUUGUAAAAUGGUGGUCGGAAGGUGACUCUUUUAGAGUGUUAUAGCCGAUUUCAGAUGCAACGAUUGAGGUUGAGGUUUGCGGCAAAUGCCUUUGGGCUACUUUCCUUCCUUCUGAUUUGUUCACUUUGAAAUGACAGCUUGCUGAUAUUUUGAAGGGCGUUCAAUCAAUAAGGUAGAGUAUUGAUAAAUUUGCCAAGGAUGCUGACGUAAUGGCUUUAAACGAC